AUGUUGUUCCUGAUUUUAAUCAUUAUUUCUCUGCUCAAAGAGAAUGCUGAUGAUAAUACAAUAAAUCCACUGGUGUCAGAGAAGCACAUCACGGCAGGAGACAGUGUUACCCUCUCCUGUGAUUACAGUGGAGGUGUUAACACACUGCAGUGGUAUCGACAAUAUCCAGGACCUCAAAUUGAGUUCCUUAUAUUUGGCACAGAGCUCAAUGGCCGGUCAGAGCCUGCUUUACGACUUUCAUCUGUGGCUGAUGAAUGUAAUAAACGCAUGAAUCUCAGCAUCUUUCAGGCAGAAAUGGAAGAUUCUACUUUGUACUACAGUGCCCUGAUGCCCAUGACGGGAAACACAACACUUUAUAAAGACUAUACAGCUGCUGUACAGAAUUUACAAUGGUACAGACAAUAUCCCAGAUCCAAACCGGAGUUCCUCCUUUACAUCUUCCAACAUGGAGCUGUAAGUGAUGACAGACCACCCAGAUUUACUGCUGCAGUGAAUAAAGACAACAAACAAGUGGAUCUGAAGAUCUCCUCUGCUGUAGAGACAGAUUCUGCUCUGUACUACUGUGCCCUGGUGCCCACAGUCACAGGAAAUCUAACUGCAUCAUACAAAAACCUCCCAUGUCAUCAUUAA